UACGGGGGGGGGUAAGCGUUGUUCGGAAUUACUGGGCGUAAAGGGCUCGUAGGCGGCCAACUAAGUCAUACGUGAAAUCCCUCGGCUUAACCGGGGAACUGCGUCUGAUACUGGAUGGCUUGAGUUCGGGAGAGGGAUGCGGAAUUCCAGGUGUAGCGGUGAAAAUGCGCAGAUAUCAGGAGGAACACCAGUGGCGAAGGCGGCUCACUGGCCCGAUACUGACGCUGAGGCACGAAAGCGUGGGGAGCAAACAGG
rnacentral:rRNA from 1 species